rnacentral:piRNA from 1 species
UGUGACCUUCAAGGAUGCUGUGCUGGGGAUU